rnacentral:rRNA from 1 species
AACGAACGCUGGCGGCAUGCCUAACACAUGCAAGUCGAACGAGACGUUCCGGUCUAGUGGCGCACGGCUGCGUACGGCGUGGUAACCUGCCCUUAAGUUCGCUAUCACUCACCGAAAGCGGUGCUAAUACCGGAUUAUUUCCUCGGGGCAAAGAUUUAGUGCCUUUGGUUGGGUGCGCGUCGGAUUAGCUAGUUGGUAGGGUAAAAGCCUAUCAACGCGUCGAUCCAUUGCUGGUCUGAGAGGAUGAUCAGCGACAAUGGUACUGAGACACGGCCCAGACUCGUACGUGAGGCAGCAGUGGGGAAUAUUGGACAAUGGGGGAAAGUCUAGGCCAGCAGUGCCGCGUAUGUUAUGAAGGCCUUAGGGUUGUAAAGCUCUUUUACCCGGGAUGAUAAUGACAGUACCGGGAGAAUAAGCACCGGCUAACUCCGUG